rnacentral:rRNA from 1 species
AGGCCUACGGGAGGCAGCAGUGGGGAAUAUUGAACAAUGGGGGAAACCCUGAUGCAGCGACGCCGCGUGAAGGAAGAAGUAUUUCGGUAUGUAAACUUCUAUCAGCAGGGAAGAAAAUGACGGUACCUGACUAAGAAGCCCCGGCUAACUACGUGCCAGCAGCCGCGGUAAUACGUAGGGGGCAAGCGUUAUCCGGAUUUACUGGGUGUAAAGGGAGCGUAGGCGGCAGCGCAAGUCUGGAGUGAAAUGCCGGGGCUCAACCCCGGAACUGCUUUGGAAACUGUGCAGCUAGAGUGCGGGAGAGG